AGCAGCCGCGGUAAUUCCAGCUCCAAUAGCGUAUAUUAAAGUUGUUGCAGUUAAAAAGCUCGUAGUUGAAUUUCGGGGUUCUACCGUUGGUCGGGCUAUUGUCUGUACUGGUGUGUAGAAUUUCUACCUUCUGGGGAACCAUCAUGUUAUUAAUUUAGCGUGGUGGGAAACCAGGACCUUUACCUUGAAAAAUUAGAGUGUUCAAAGCAGGCUUACGUCUGAAUACAUUAGCAUGGAAUAAUAAAAUAGGACGGUGGUCCUGUUUUGUUGGUUUCUGAAUCACCGUAAUGAUUAAUAGGGAUAGUUGGGGGCAUUAGUAUUCAAUUGUCAGAGGUGAAAUUCUUGGAUUUAUUGAAGACUAACUUCUGCGAAAGCAUUUGCCAAGGAUGUUUUCAUUAAUCAAAGAACGAAAGUUAGGGGAUCGAAGACGAUCAGAUACCGUCGUAGUCUUAACCAUAAACUAUGCCGACU
rnacentral:rRNA from 1 species